AAAGGCGAAUACCCUGCCUUGCCCGUGUUUAUAGCUUUUUAAAGCCUUCUAUAUGUAUUGUAUGGAUGCGGUACACGCUUAUUAGAGCUUUCGAAAAAGGGCAAAAGCUUUCGUUGGCCAUCUAUGUUGAGCAGUUAUAGUCUAAAGUAGCGACGAGCAGAGAGAGCUUUUACUCUGCAUGCGUCUAUGCGAAAUUUAUAGAAAGAUUAAACGAGAUUGUCGGUCUA